AACGAACGCUGGCGGCGUGCCUAACACAUGCAAGUCGAACGUGAUUGGAAGCUUGCUUCCAUGAAAGUGGCGCACGGGUGAGUAACGCGUAGAUAAUCUACCUGAUGAUCCGGGAUAACACUUCGAAAGGGGUGCUAAUACCUGAUAAGCCCACGGAGUCCUUGGACUCUGCGGGAAAAGGGGGGGAUCGCAAGACCUUCCGUCAUCAGAUGAGUCUGCGUACCAUUAGCUAGUUGGUAGGGUAAAGGCCUACCAAGGCGACGAUGGUUAGCUGGUCUGAGAGGAUGAUCAGCCACACUGGAACUGGGACACGGUCCAGACUCCUACGGGGGGCAGCAGUGGGGAAUUUUGCGCAAUGGGGGAAACCCUGACGCAGCAACGCCGCGUGAGUGAUGAAGGCCCUUGGGUCGUAAAGCUCUGACAGAGGGAAAGAAAUGCAGAGUGGCUAAUAUCCACCUUGCUUGACGGUACCCUCAAAGGAAGCACCGGCUAACUCCGUGCCAGCCGCCGCGGUAAAAC
rnacentral:rRNA from 1 species